rnacentral:lncRNA from 1 species
CCUGCUGUCGUCUUGCCUCCUUGGUAUGGUCCGUGCCUACUGAAUCAAAGACCCUGAAUCAACCUAUCAUCGCCUCAACUCCGCCACCUGCCUUCACUCCUCCUUCCAAGGCUAUGGACAAGACUUCUGUGUUCGAUGCUGUGCUGGUGGCCAAGAUAAAAAACAUCCUGAGUGAAGAAAUGCUUGAGAAACAAGCCCACCAGCAGGAGUAUGUUACAGAGAUUGUUGAGAGGCUGCAGAUGGAAUUGAGGGACGUGAGGUCAGAUGUGAGGGAUGUGAAAAUGAGACUGGAUAGCGUGGAUCCGUCAUAUUGGGAGCGUAGUUUGAGCAAGCAAGAAGCCGGCUUCACCAAACAGAUGGACGAGCUCAGUGACCAUCACACACGCAUCAGGCAGAGAGUGACUGCCCUGGAGGACCAAAGCAGCAAUGUAUUUACAGUCCCCCCCUUACACACGCACGCACACAGGAACAUGUUUUCAGUAAAAUGUUAUUCAACGUUCGGUCCCAAAUGGCACCGUAUUUCCUGUGUGGCACGGUACAGUGCCAUGUCAGACAUGGACAAUGUGAAUGGCGGGCCUUCGUGA